rnacentral:tRNA from 1 species
ACUCUCUUAGUAUAAACAGUACUAUUGACUUCCAAUUAAUGGGUCUCGAUGAACUCGAGAGAGAGUA